AACCCUACUCAGUGGAGAGCAGGUAUAUAAGCCACUGAGGAAAAACCAACCCUUUGCAAACUGCAAGAAAAAUAUCCAAGAGACUACAAAUUUGAGAUGGAAAUGGAAUUCAGGGCUUUGCUUCUGCUGGGACUCUUUUUGGCGGAGCCAGGGUUCGGACAGAGAGGUGACAUGGAUAUUAGUGAGUGGUUGAAAGAAAGAGUGGAGUUAAUAAAAAACUUGGAGGGUAAACUGAAAUAUGUAGACAGAUGGGAGGAUGAUGUUAAAGAUCUGGAGGCCAGGCUCAACGCGACUGUGGACGCGCUGACGAGACAGAAAGCUGAAGUGGACAGACUGAAUGAAAAGAAUGAAGGCCUGCAAAAAAGACUGAAGGCCACAGAGGAGAAGAUUGAUAAGCUGAAACAAAGCAGUGCUGAAGGUGCUCCUAAGAUCGCGUUCUCAGCCUCUUUUUCGUAAACUCUGGGGAGAUUUAUAAAGGACCCUGCACAGAGAAGACCCUGGUUUUCCAAAGGGUCUUCUCAAACACUGGCAGUGGUUAUGACCAAAAUACAGGAAUCUUCACGGCACCAGUGAGCGGUCUUUAUUACUUCAGCUUCAGUACCUAUGGCUACAACACUCACGUAAUGGGGGCCAUUUUAACAAAAAAUGGCAUCCUUCAAAUUUCGACCUACGAUAGCCCUACAUCUGACGGCUCAGACAGUAGCAGUAACUCUGCUGUUCUUCAGUUGGCUGCUGGUGAUAGGGUGCACAUGGAACUGUGGGAUAAUGGUAGAGUGUUUGACAACGUGAACGGACACACGACCUUCAGUGGUUUUCUUGUCUUCCCUGUGUAAAUGAUUAGGAAACAAUGCAUUGAAAGAUGCUUAUGCAACAAUAGCGAUCUGAAAAUCAACCCAAUGCAUGCUGUUCAUUUUCAAGUAAAGUUUAUUGAAAAUAUAACAACAAUAAAUGGCAAAACAGA